rnacentral:rRNA from 1 species
CCUGGCUCAGAACGAACGUUAGCGGCGCGCUUAACACAUGCAAGUCGAGCGAGAAAGAGGGCAACCUCCGGUAAAGCGGCGCACGGGUGAGUAACACGUAGGUAACCUACCCCCAGGUGGUGGAUAACCUUCCGAAAGGAGGGCUAAUACAGCAUGAGACCACGAGCUCGAAAGGGCUUGAGGUCAAAGUCGGCCUCUCUUCAGAAGCUGACGCCAGGGGACGGGCCUGCGGCCCAUCAGGUAGUUGGUAGGGUAAUGGCCUACCAAGCCUAAGACGGGUAGCUGGUCUGAGAGGAUGAUCAGCCACACUGGAACUGAGACACGGUCCAGACUCCUACGGGAGGCAGCAGUGGGGAAUCUUGCGCAAUGGGCGAAAGCCUGACGCAGCGACGCCGCGUGAGUGAUGAAGGCCUUC